rnacentral:rRNA from 1 species
AGCGAACAUUGGCGGUAGGCUUAACACAUGCAAGUCGAGCGAGGCGUAAUAGUCGAGCGGCGAACGGGUGCGUAAUACAUGGGAAUCUACCCUGAAGUGGGGGAUAACGUUCAGAAAUGGACGCUAAUACCGCAUAAUCCACAUUGGGAAAGCGUUGCAGCGCUUUAGGAUGAGCCCAUGGCUGAUUAGCUAGUUGGUGAGGUAAUGGCUCACCAAGGCGACGAUCAGUAGCUGGUCUGAGAGGAUGACCAGCCACACUGGAACUGAGACACGGUCCAGACUCCUACGGGAGGCAGCAGUGGGGAAUCUUGCGCAAUGGGGGCAACCCUGACGCAGCCAUACCGCGUGAGUGAUGAAGGUCUUCGGAUUGUAAAGCUCUUUCGGCGGGGACGACGAUGACGGUACCCGCAAAAGAAGUCACGGCUAACUUCGUGCCAGCAGCCGCCGCCG